rnacentral:sRNA from 1 species
CCCUAGCCCGGAUAGCAGCGGUAUCCUCUUUAUGUGAUUCAGACGAAGGAAGAAUCACAUGAAAGAGAUACAAGCGAAUAGCCGGAAUAGCU